UACGUAGGGGGCAAGCGCUGUCCGGAAUCAUUGGGCGUAAAGGGCGCGUAGGCGGAUAGUUAAGUCUGGUGUGAAAGGUCAGGGCUCAACCCUGAGAGUGUAUCGGAAACUGGCUAUCUUGAGGACAGGAGAGGAAAGUGGAAUUCCACGUGUAGCGGUGAAAUGAGUAGAUAUGUGGAGGAACACCAGUGGCGAAGGCGACUUUCUGGACUGUAACUGACGCUGAGGCGGGAAAGCGUGGGGAGCAAACAGGAUUAGAUACCCUGGUAGCCCACGCCGUAAACGAUGAGUGCUAGGUGUAGAGGGUAUCGACCCCUUCUGUGCCGCAGUUAACACAAUAAGCACUCCGCCUGGGGAGUACGGCCGCAAGGUUGA
rnacentral:rRNA from 1 species